rnacentral:rRNA from 1 species
CCUACGGGGGGCUGCAGUGGGGAAUAUUGGACAAUGGGCGAAAGCCUGAUCCAGCCAUGCCGCGUGUGUGAAGAAGGCCUUCGGGUUGUAAAGCACUUUCAGUGGGGAAGAAAGCCUUGGGGCUAAUACCCUCGAGGAAGGACAUCACCCACAGAAGAAGCACCGGCUAACUCCGUGCCAGCAGCCGCGGUAAUACGGAGGGUGCGAGCGUUAAUCGGAAUUACUGGGCGUAAAGCGCGCGUAGGCGGUCUGAUAAGCCGGUUGUGAAAGCCCCGGGCUCAACCUGGGAACGGCAUCCGGAACUGUCAGGCUAGAGUGCAGGAGAGGAAGGUAGAAUUCCCGGUGUAGCGGUAAAAUGCGUAGAGAUCGGGAGGAAUACCAGUGGCGAAGGCGGCCUUCUGGACUGACACUGACGCUGAGGUGCGAAAGCGUGGGUAGCAAACAGGAUUAGAUACCCGAGUGUC